AGAACGAACGUUGGCGGCGUGGAUUAGGCAUGCAAGUCGCGGGAAUCACUCGCAAGAGUGGGAACCGGCGUAAGGGGCAGUAAUGCGUGGGUAUUUACCCUCCGGUCUGGCAUAGCCCUUCGAAAGAAGGGGUAAUUCCAGAUGACGUCGAGAGACCAAAGGUCUGCCGCCGGGGGAGAAGCCCACGUGAUAUUAGCUAGUUGGUGAGGUAAUGGCUCACCAAGGCGAAGAUGUCUAGCGGGUGUGAGAGCACGACCCGCGCCACUGGCACUGAGACACUGGCCAGACACCGUACGGGUGGCUGCAGUCGAGGAUCUUCGGCAAGUGGGGCAACCUGACCGAGCGACGCCGCGUGUGCGAUGAAGGCCGUUCGGUUAGUAAAGCACUGGUCGGAGGGGAGAAAAGGCGACGAAGUCUGAUCUAUCCCGUGGAGGAAGGACGGCUAAGUUCGCGCC
rnacentral:rRNA from 1 species